rnacentral:rRNA from 1 species
ACGAAACAGUGAUGUGGAGACAAACUACAAAAAAAUAGUCUCAGUUCGGAUUGAAGGCUGAAAUUCGCCUUCAUGAAGCCGGAAUUGCUAGUAAUGGCAGGUCAGCAUACUGCCGUGAAUACGUUCCCGGGCCUUGUACACACCGCCCGUCACACCAUGAGAGUUGGGAAUACCCGAAGCCUGUGAGCUAACUUUUAGAGGCAGCAGUCGAAGGUAGAAUCAAUGAUUGGGGUGAAGUCGUAACAAGGUACC